rnacentral:rRNA from 1 species
GUGGGGAAUAUUGCACAAUGGGCGCAAGCCUGAUGCAGCCAUGCCGCGUGUAUGAAGAAGGCCUUCGGGUUGUAAAGUACUUUCAGCGGGGAGGAAGGCGAUAAGGUUAAUAACCUUGUCGAUUGACGUUACCCGCAGAAGAAGCACCGGCUAACUCCGUGCCAGCAGCCGCGGUAAUACGGAGGGUGCAAGCGUUAAUCGGAAUUACUGGGCGUAAAGCGCACGCAGGCGGUCUGUCAAGUCGGAGGUGAAAUCCCCGGGCUCAACCUGGGAACUGCAUUCGAAACUGGCAGGCUAGAGUCUUGUAGAGGGGGGUAGAAUUCCAGGUGUAGCGGUGAAAUGCGUAGAGAUCUGGAGGAAUACCGGUGGCGCAGGCGGCCCCCUGGACAAAGACUGACGCUCAGGUGCGAAAGCGUGGGGAGCAAACAGGAUUAGAUACCCUUGUAGUCC